UCCUGUACAAGCAAAGCUCUUGGGAGGUA
rnacentral:piRNA from 2 species